rnacentral:rRNA from 1 species
UCUGCCCGCUGGCGGCGUGCCUAAUACAUGCAAGUCGAGCGAACGGACGAGAAGCUUGCUUCUCUGAUGUUAGCGGCGGACGGGUGAGUAACACGUGGAUAACCUACCUAUAAGACUGGGAUAACUUCGGGAAACCGGAGCUAAUACCGGAUGAUAUUUUGAACCGCAUGGUUCAAAAGUGAAAGACGGUCUUGCUGUCACUUAUAGAUGGAUCCGCGCUGCAUUAGCUAGUUGGUAAGGUAACGGCUUACCAAGGCAACGAUGCAUAGCCGACCUGAGAGGGUGAUCGGCCACACUGGAACUGAGACACGGUCCAGACUCCUACGGGAGGCAGCAGUAGGGAAUCUUCCGCAAUGGGCGAAAGCCUGACGGAGCAACGCCGCGUGAGUGAUGAAGGUCUUCGGAUCGUAAAACUCUGUUAUUAGGGAAGAACAUAUGUGUAAGUAACUGUGCACAUCUUGACGGUACCUAAUCAGAAAGCCACGGCUAACUACGUG